GGGGAACCUGCGGCUGGAUCACCUCCUUU
rnacentral:rRNA from 15 species